AUUGAACGCUGGCGGCAUGCCUUACACAUGCAAGUCGAACGGUAACAGGUCUUCGGAUGCUGACGAGUGGCGAACGGGUGAGUAAUACAUCGGAACGUGCCCGAUCGUGGGGGAUAACGAGGCGAAAGCUUUGCUAAUACCGCAUACGAUCUCCGGAUGAAAGCGGGGGAUCUUCGGACCUCGCGCGGACGGGGCGGCCGAUGGGAGAUUAGGUAGUUGGUGGGAUAAAAGCUUACCAAGCCGACGAUCUGUAGCUGGUCUGAGAGGAUGAUCAGCCACACUGGAACUGAGACACGGCCCAGACUCCUACGGGAGGCAGCAGUGGGGAAUUUUGGACAAUGGGCGAAAGCCUGAUCCAGCCAUGCCGCGUGCAGGAUGAAGGCCUUCGGGUUGUAAACUGCUUUUGUACGGAACGAAAAGCCUCUUUCUAAUAAAGAGGGGUCAUGACGGUACCGUAAGAAUAAGCACCGGCUAACUACGUG
rnacentral:rRNA from 1 species